UGGGGAAUAUUGCACAAUGGGCGAAAGCCUGAUGCAGCAACGCCGCGUGAGCGAUGAAGGCCUUCGGGUCGUAAAGCUCUGUCCUCAAGGAAGAUAAUGACGGUACUUGAGGAGGAAGCCCCGGCUAACUACGUGCCAGCAGCCGCGGUAAUACGUAGGGGGCUAGCGUUAUCCGGAAUUACUGGGCGUAAAGGGUGCGUAGGUGGUUUCUUAAGUCAGAGGUGAAAGGCUACGGCUCAACCGUAGUAAGCCUUUGAAACUGGGAAACUUGAGUGCAGGAGAGGAGAGUGGAAUUCCUAGUGUAGCGGUGAAAUGCGUAGAUAUUAGGAGGAACACCAUUGGCGAAGGCGACUUACUGGGCCGUAACUGACGCUGAUGCGCGAAAGCGUGGGGAGCGAACA
rnacentral:rRNA from 1 species